GGGACAGGGAAUGGUCUCGUGGUGACUGUAGCUUGAGAAUAAGGGUCGGCUAAUUACGUGCCAGCAGCCGCGGUAACACGUAAGACCCUAGCGUUAUUCGGAAUUAUUGGGCGUAAAGGGCACGCAGGCGGUUUGGUAAGUCAGGAGUGAAAUACCGGAGCUUAACUCCGGUGCUGCUUUUGAUACUGCUGAACUUGAAUCAGUGAGGGGUGACCGGAAUUCCUAGUGUAGGGGUGAAAUCUGUAGAUAUUAGGAAGAACACCGGUGGCGAAGGCAGGUCACCAGCACAUGAUUGACGCUCAGGUGCGAAGGUGCGGGGAGCAAACAGGAUUAGAUACCCUGGUAGUCCGCACAGUAAACGAUGCACACUUGGUGUCCGCUCUUAAGAGUGGGUGCCGUAGCUAACGCUUUAAGUGUGCCGCCUGGGAAGUAUGCCCGCAAGGGUGAAACUCAAAGGAAUUGACGG
rnacentral:rRNA from 1 species